GACGAACGCUGGCGGCGUGCUUAACACAUGCAAGUCGAACGGACAGGCCCUGCUUUUGUGGGGUGCUCGUGUGGCGAAAGGGUGAGUAACACGUGAGUAACCUGUCCUUGCCUUUGGGAUAACUUUAGGAAACUGGGGCUAAUACCGGAUAGGAGCUUCUGAUGCGUGGUGGGGGUGGGAAAGUUUCGGCGGUUGGGGUUGUUUUAGCGGUUUCUCAGCUGGUUGGGGGGGUUGUAGCUUACAAGGGUUUUGACGGGUAGCCGGCCUGGGAGGGUGACCGGCCACAGUGGGACUGGGAUACGGCCAGGACGCCUACGGGAGGCAGGAGUGGGGGAUAGAGCACGAAGGGCGGAAGCCUGAUGGAGCGACGCCGGGUGGGGGAUGACGGCUUUCGGGGUGGAAACCGCUUUCGCCUGUGACGGAGCGUGAGGGACGUGAAUGGGUAAAGAAGCACCGCCAAACUAGUG
rnacentral:rRNA from 1 species